GGAGGGUGCAAGCGUUAAUCGGAGUUACUGGGCGUAAAGCGCACGCAGGCGGUUUGUUAAGUCAGAUGUGAAAUCCCCGGGCUCAACCUGGGAACUGCAUCUGAUACUGGCAAGCUUGAGUCUCGUAGAGGGGGGUAGAAUUCCAGGUGUAGCGGUGAAAUGCGUAGAGAUCUGGAGGAAUACCGGUGGCGAAGGCGGCCCCCUGGACGAAGACUGACGCUCAGGUGCGAAAGCGUGGGGAGCAAACAGGAUUAGAUACCCUGGUAGUCCACGCCGUAAACGAUGUCGAACUUGGAGGUUGUGCCCUUGAGGCGUGGCUUCCGGAGCUAACGCGUUAAGUCGACCGCCUGGGGAGUACGGCCGCAAGGUUA
rnacentral:rRNA from 1 species